CUGCGGCGAGGGCCAGAAAACCACGGCCGGCCAAAUGCCUUAAAGGGGUAACCCGUCGCGCGCGUUUUCUGCAGGAAAGAGUCCGCCCAAGUUUGGUGGGUGUGGGCUGUUGUCUUGCGCAUGCAGGAACAGGCUGCUGUGUCGCUCUCUUGCUCAUAGCUGGAGCAUGCGGCGCUCCCCAUUGUCCCUGGCAUGCCGAUACAGGAGAGGGGGGAGACACAGAUGCAGACAGCCCAGAGGGACGUACUGUCCCCUCCGUGAGCCCGGCCCCCUGGGGUCCACUGCAGACUCUGAACCAGCAGAAGCAAAGCCCUCUGCUCGGGGUCCAGGAGUUGCUGCCCAGGGAUCCUGGUUCCAAAUGACCUCUGGCUCCAUCUUGGAACGUCAUGCCAGAUUCUCUUCAGCUCGUCGCCACUCUGUAAUCGCAGCACUUGUGGAGGCUCAGGAGGAGCGAAAUCUUGAGCACAGCCGGGGCAAAUUAACCACUGUGAGACCCUGUCGCAAAAGAACUGCAUUAUGAAGUUCUGUGGAUGGAGUUCAAGGAGGAGAGGCUCUGGUUCAAUUCAGAACAGUGGGGAGGGGAAUAACUUUACUUUCACAAUAUUAACAGCAGUCACUUGAUUCUGGAGACUUCUCUUUCCUGGGGUCCACCCUGCCCUCCUCUUCUGGGAAAGGAACACUCUGAGAGGUGGGCACAGGGGCAUGAGGAGGACUGGGAGCCAGGCCUUCUGCACCCUCUCUCUCCGCUGCCCCACUUCUGCUAUGUGUGUCAAAUCUUAAGACCUUGGAAGUCUCCCUAGCCUGUGCACUCCCACAGCUCCAACCCAGGGUUGUGGGGAGAACAACCCACAGUCUUAUAUUUCCAAUGAAAAGUAGCAAUGCCAGGACCCUGGGUACAUAAAGGCAGGAGCAUUUGAUUUUGAGACACAUCUCACUUUUCUUUUUUUUUUUUUGUACCAAGAAUCAAACUCAGGACCUUGUGCUUGCCAGGCAGGCACUUAUGCUACUGAGCUAAAUCCCCAACAAGGAGGGCAUUUGAAAGGGAGACACCCCUGGAGUUUGAGGUGUGCAGUUGCCUUGCUACAGGAGCAACAAGAUGGGCAGUGGUGUCGAGCCACACACACACACACACACACACACACACACACUCACAGAGUUCUAUAUAGAUCUCUGUGCCCGGAGGCUUGAUACCUUGGGGCCAGGUGCCCUGGAGCUUGAGGCAGGAACCUCAGAAAAGAGAGGGAGCCAGCACCAGAUAAAGGAUACAGCAUCUCUACUUCUGCACCUAGGUGCCUAGACCAGAAACAGAACCCACCAGGGCAAACCUCUACUGCCUCCCAGAUGCUAUUCAGACUCAUUGGCUUCUCCAUUCCUUCCCCAAGACCCACCUCCAUCCUGACCUUUCCAAACCUGACCAGACAGAAUGUCUAAAGAUCCAGUUCUUUUUUUUUUUUUUUUUCUUCGUUUUUAUCGGUACCAGGGAUCGAACUCACAACUGCCUGCAAGGCAAGCGCUUAUGCCGCUGAGCUAAGUCCCCAGCCCCUAAAGAUCCAGUUCUAAAACCAGGUGUGGUGGUACAUCCCUGUAAUCCCAGCACUUAGAAGGCUGAGACAGGAGGAACCUUUUGAGUUAAAGACUGACCUGGGCUACAAAGUGAGCUCAAGUUCAGCCUGAACUGCAUACCAAGACCCUGUUUCAAAAAGACAACAUAAAAUAAAAUAAAGAUCUGGGCAGAGAUUUAGCUGAGUGGCAUAAGCACCUGCCUGGCAAGCACCAGGCCAUGAGUUCAAUCCCUAGUGCCUAAAUAAAUAAAUAAAUAAAUAUUCCGGUCUGACUUGCCACUUCUGGUUGAGACUCAGAGUCCAUUGAAGUUCGAAUCUAUAUUUAGAGCCCGCCUUCCCCUCCAGCACAGUACCACCUCCCUCACUGGACACCCCAGGUUCCAGUCCUCAGCAGUCCUUCAGGCCCAGAAGGAUCUAGGUCCUGACCCCAGGACCCUGAGGUUCCAGACUUGCUCUCCAACCUCCCAGAGCCUCCUAGGAAAAGUGCUCCAACUUCAGAGGCAUCUUCACAAUCCACCCUGAGCUGUGGCACAGCCCUGAUGCCAAAGAUUGCCCCUGGCUGGAGCCACCCAGAUGGUGCUGGUUUCAGAAAACGUACAGGAAGAAACAGAAGAGAGUAGGAAUGGUGGAAGACAGGAACACAGGGUGGAGAUCUAGUGUUUCCAGAUAUUAACUGUGGUUUGGCCACCAGGAGCCAAUUGGUAAAUGAAACUGUUCCCAUGAAAAAACAAUGUUACAAAUGUAAUAUCUGC
rnacentral:lncRNA from 1 species